GUCUCUGUAGCUCAGUCGGAUAGAGCACAGGUUUCCUAAACCUGGGGCCACAGGUUCGAAUCCUGUCAGGGACACCA
rnacentral:tRNA from 1 species